rnacentral:lncRNA from 1 species
CCUAUAGUUUUUUCUGUUUCCCGUACUUCUAGUGAUUAGUUUUUAUGUCUUCAUUAUGGUUAAAAGUUAUAACCAUUUUAAUCCUGAUUAAUGGUUUUAUACAUCACACUAAUUGAAGAAAGUCAUACACCUUUUUUAAAAGUAGAUCAUGAUUAACAAAUGUUUUAAUCCUGUGCAACUUAGAAGAAAUAGACCAUUUUAAAGUUAUAUAAGGUUAAGUUGCACAUGAUUAAAAACAUCAAGGUGGCAAGCUAUUCACGCGUUAAUCACUUGACAGAGUUUGUCAAAUUUUAACAGAAAAAUUAGCAUAAGAAGUUUCUGCAUUUUGAGAACCUUGAGAAUCUAGACAUGCCUUUUGAAGUCUAGAGACAAAGUUGUACAAGACACAGACCUCAAGCUGCUAGUUUGUAGCUUUCCACGAUUAAUAUGCUACAGAACUACCAUUUUAAAGUUAUAUAUGGUUAAGUUGCACAUGAUUAAAAACAUCAAGGUGGCAAGCUAUUCACGUGUUAAUCACUUGACAGAGUUUGUCAAAUUUUAACAGAAAAAUUAGCAUAAGAAGUUUCUGCAUUUUGAGAACCUUGAGAAUCUAAACAUGCCUUUUGAAGUCUAGAAACAAAGUUGUACAAGACACAGACCUCAAGCUGCUAGUUUGUAGUUUUCCACGAUUAAUAUGCUACAGAACUAUUUCAUCUUGAGGAUAUAUCAUUGAAAUCUGAGGAACAGUGUAGCAGACUCUUCUUAUAUUUAUUCAUUUAUGAAACGAGCAGGAUGUUUUCAACAUAAAAUUUGUGUAAAAACCUUGGAAGAAGACAGGCAAAGUAAAAGAAGAAUACAUUAGAUGAGAGUAAAGUGUCUCAAAUAAGUCCUUAUCAUGUUCCCAAGAGAAAAUUUGAAUAAAGCGAUAGAUUCUGACAUACAUAUUUCAUACAAACCAAGGAAAAAGUUACACCAGAAAGAAAAAUAAUUAUGAAUUUUAUUACUUUCUUUGUAGCAAU